rnacentral:tRNA from 1 species
UGGGGCGUCGCCAAACGGUAAGGCAGCGGACUUUGGAUCCGCCAUUUCCAGGUUCGAAUCCUGGCGCCCCAGCCA